GGCGAGCGAACGGGAAAGAGCCCAAACCAGAAACUUGUUUCUGGGGUUGUGGAUAGAUCAUAAAAGAAGAGGUAUCUUAAUCGAAGAGGGCUGGAACGCCCUACCAUAGAAGGUAAUAGUCCUGUAGGUAAAAAGAGAAAACUUCGAGAUCUAAUCCAGAGUACCACGAGACACGUGAAACCUUGUGGGAAGCAGGGAGGACCACCUCCCAAGGCUAAAUACUACCUAGUGACCGAUAGUGAAGCAGUACCG
rnacentral:rRNA from 1 species